UGAUGAUCCCAAUGGUGACGUGUCUCCCAUCCAUCCCAUAACCCCACCGAUGAUCCCAAUGGUGACCCGUCACUCAUUGAUCCCAUGACCCCACCAAUGAUCCCACUGGUGACGUGUCUCCCAUCGAUCCCAUGACCCCACCGAUGAUCCCAAUGGUGAUGUGUCUCCCAUCGAUCCCAUGACCCCACCGAUGAUCCCAAUGGUGACGUGUCUCCCAUUGAUCCCAUGACCCCACGAUGAUCCCAAUGGUGACGUGUCUCCCAUUGAUCCCAUGACCCCCCCAGCAAUCCAACCCAUCCUACAGAUGGUCCCAUUUAUCCCAGCGAUACCAGCAAUCCCACUGAUGCCACCGAUGAUGCCACCAGUGACCCAUUGGUCCCGUGACCCCACUGAUGAUCCCAUCCAUCCCACCCAUCCCAGCAGUCCCACCGAUGAUCCCAUCCGUCCCAGUGAUCCCACUGAUACCAACUAUGAUCCCAUCCGUGAUCCCACCCGUGUCACCAUCGAUCACAUGACGUCACUGUUGAUCCCAUCCAUCCCACCAUCCCAGUCAUCUCAGUGAUCCCAUCCAUCCCAGCGAUCCCAGCGAUCCCAGUGAUCCCACCAAUCCCAGUGAUGAUCCCAUCCAUCCCAGUAUGAUCCCAUCCAUCCCAUCAAUCCCAGUGAUGAUCCCAUCCAUCCCAGUGAUGAUCCCAUCCACCCCACCAAUCCCACCAUUCCCAGUGAUGAUCCCACCAAUCCCAGUAUGAUCCCAUCCAUCCCAUCCGUCCCAGUGAUGAUCCCAUCCAUCCCACCAAACCCACCAAUCCCAGUGAUGAUCCCACCAAUCCCAGUAUGAUCCCACCCGUCCCAUCCAUCCCACCAAUCCCAGUAUGAUCCCAUCCACCCCACCAAUCCCAGUGAUGAUCCCAUCCAUCCCACCAACCCCAGUGAUGAUCCCAUCCAUCCCAGUAUGAUCCCAUCCAUCCCCCCAAUCCCAGUACGAUCCCAUCCAUCCCACCAAUCCCACCAAUCCCAGUGAUGAUCCCAUCCAUCCCAGUAUGAUCCCAUCCAUCCCACCAAUCCCAGUAAUGAUCCCAUCCAUCCCUCCAAUCCCACCAAUCCCAGUGAUAAUCCCACCCAUCCCACCAAUCCCAGUGAUGAUCCCAUCCAUCCCAAUAUGAUCCCAUCCAUCCCAGUAUGAUCCGAUCCGUCCCACCAAUCCCAGUGAUGAUCCCAUCCAUCCCUCCAAUCCCACCAAUCCCAGUGAUGAUCCCAUCCAUCCCAUGAUGAUCCCAUCCAUCCCACCAAUCCCAGUGAUGAUCCCAUCCAUCCCCGUAUGAUCCCAUCCAUCCCCCCAAUCCCUGUGAUGAUCCCAUCCAUCCCAGUGAUGAUCCCAUCCAUCCCAUCCAUCCCACCGAUCCCAGUGAUGAUCCCAUCCAUCCCAGUAUGAUCCCAUCCGUCCCACCGAUCCCAGUGAUGAUCCCAUCCAUCCCAGUAUGAUCCCACCAAUCCCAGUGAUGAUCCCAUCCAUCCCAGUGAUGAUCCCAUCCAUGACCCCACCCAUGUCACCCAUCGACCCCAUGACCCCAACAAUGAUCCCAUCCAUCCCAACAAUGAUCCCAUCCAUCCCAGAAAUCCCACUGAUCCCACUGAUGCCACCAGUGACCUCACCCAUGUCAACCAUUGAUCCCAUGACCCCACUGAUGAUUCUACCCAUCCCACUGAUGCUCCCAUCCAUUCCAGUGAUCCUAUUGAUCCCACUGAUGUCACCGAUGAUCCCAUUGGUGACCCCACCCAUGUCACCCAUCGAUCCCAUGACCCCGCCAAUGAUCCCAUCCAUCCCAUUGAUCCCACCAUUGAUCCCACCCAUGUCACCCACCGAUCCCAUGACCCCACUGAUGAUCCCACCCAUCCCAACGAUCCCACUGAUCCCAUGGAUCCCAGUGAUGCUCCCAUCCACACCAGCGAUCACACUGAUCCCAUGACCCCACUGAUGAUCCCAUCCAUCCCACUGAUCCCACUGAUCCCACUGAUGCCACCAGCGACCUCACCCAUGUCAACCAUUCAUCCCAUGACCACACUGAUGUUCCCACCCAUCCCACUGAUGCUCCCAUCCAUUCCAGUGAUCCUAUUGAUCCCACUGAUGUCACCGAUGAUCCCAUUGGUGACCCCACCCAUGUCACCUAUCGAUCAAAUGACCCCACCAAUGAUCCCAUCCAUCCCACUGAUCCCAUCCAUGAUCCCACCCUUGUCACCCAUCGACCCCAUGACCCCACUGAUGAUCCCACCCAUCCCAACGAUCCCACUGACCCCAUGGAUCCCAGUGAUGAUCCCAUCCACACCAGCGAUCCCACUGAUUCCAUCACCUCACUGAUGAUCCCAUCCAUCCCAGCGAUCCCAUUGAUCCCAUGGAUGCCACUGAUGAUCCCAUCCAUGAUCCCACCCAUGUCACCCAUCGAUCCCAUGACCCCACUGCUGAUCCCAUCCAUCCCAGCUAUCCCAGUCUCAGUGGUCCCAUACAUCCUGCUGAUGAUCCCACUGAUCCCAUACACCACGCCAAUCCCACCGGUGAUUCCAUCCA
ensembl:lncRNA